rnacentral:rRNA from 1 species
CUCGGGGGGUUUUUCGAAUUCAUCAACCCUGUGACAUACCUAAACGUUGCUUCGGCGGGAAUAGACGGCCCCGUGAAACGGGCCGCCCCCGCCAGAGGACCCUUAACUCUGUUUCUAUAAUGUUUCUUCUGAGUAAAACAAGCAAAUAAAUUAAAACUUUCAACAACGGAUCUCUUGGCUCUGGCAUCGAUGAAGAACGCAGCGAAAUGCGAUAAGUAAUGUGAAUUGCAGAAUUCAGUGAAUCAUCGAAUCUUUGAACGCACAUUGCGCCCGCCAGUAUUCUGGCGGGCAUGCCUGUUCGAGCGUCAUUACAACCCUCAGGCCCCCGGGCCUGGCGUUGGGGAUCGGCGGAGCCCUUUGUGGGCAUACGCCGUCCCCCAAAUACAGUGGCGGUCCCGCCGCAGCUUCCAUCGCGUAGUAGCUAACACCUCGCGACUGGAGAGCGGCGCGGCCACGCCGUAAAACACCCAACUCUUCUGAAGUUGACCUCGAAUCAGGUAGGAAUACCCGCUGAACUUAAGCAUAUCAAUAAGGCCGGAGGA